UACGUAGGGACCAAGCGUUGUUCGGAUUUACUGGGCGUAAAGGGCGCGUAGGCGGCCUAGCAAGUCACUUGUGAAAUCUCCGGGCUUAACUCGGAACUGCCAAGUGAAACUGCUGGGCUAGAGUGCAGAAGGGGCAAUCGGAACUCUUGGUGUAGCGGUGAAAUGCGUAGAUAUCAAGAGGAACACCUGAGGUGAAGACGGGUUGCUGGGCUGACACUGACGCUGAGGCGCGAAAGCCAGGGGAGCAAACGGG
rnacentral:rRNA from 1 species